rnacentral:rRNA from 1 species
AUUGAACGCUGGCGGCAUGCCUUACACAUGCAAGUCGAACGGCAGCGCGGGGGCAACCCUGGCGGCGAGUGGCGAACGGGUGAGUAAUACUUCGGAACGUGCCCAGUAGCGGGGGAUAACGCAGCGAAAGUUGUGCGAAUACCGCAUAUUCUCUACGGAGGAAAGAGGGGGAUCGCAAGUCCUCUCACUAUUGGCGCGGCCGAAGCCUGAUUAGCCAGUUGGUGAGGUAAAAGCUCACCAAGGCGACGAUCAGUAGCUGGUUUGAGAGAACGACCAGCCACACUGGGACUGAGACACGGCCCAGACUCCUACGGGAGGCAGCAGUGGGGAAUUUUGGACAAUGGGGGCAACCCUGAUCCAGCCAUGCCGCGUGCGGGAAGAAGGCCUUCGGGUUGUAAACCGCUUUUGUUCGGGAAGAAAUCGUCCUCGCUAAUACCGGGGGCGGAUGACGGUACCGGAAGAAUAAGCACCGGCUAACUACGUGCCAGCAGCCGCGGUAAAAC